GGAGGUUUUAGCUUAAUUAAAGUGUCUGAUUUGCAGUCGGAGAUGUGUUUUAGAGAUCGCAAGCCUU
rnacentral:tRNA from 1 species